AUCUCGGAUGUCCGUCUAUUAUUGCACUUUGCACCGUGUACUUCGGUUGCUUAUUUAGGUGCCAGUCUCCCUGGGGGGAAAGUCCUGGGUUUUCUAGAGGAUUUUUUUUUUAAUCCCCGUGGCCCCAGUGACCAGCCCAGCAUCUAACACACUGCCCGCAGGAAGCCUGUGUCCCUGAACCCAUUCUCCCGGGCCAAGAUAGGACCUGUUUGAGGAAGACGGAAAAAGUGCUCCGUGAGCAGGAUUAUGAAACGACAAGGAUGACGUGAGGGACUUUCGAAACCCUGGGAAGGAAGAUGCCCACGUGAAUGACAGCCCCUUGCUAUUCUCGGCCACCAGAGGUUCAGGUUUUAACUCAGGACAGCUGCCCGGAGCCUGCAGUCAGCCGGGGACAGAGCCUCCUGCCAGCGCAGCAGACUUCUGCUGCCCCCUAGUGGUCCCGGGGCCUCAGCCGAGUGGGGUCUCCAAAGGCUCCAGCUUCUGUUCUCUGGGAAACUUCUCAGCCACAAGGCUGAAGACAGAGAUUUCCACCUCACAGCUGCCUGGGGAAUGCCUCUUUGCAACAGGGAACCAGGAGGAGCUAAGAGCAGGGCCUUAGGGGGUUUUCCAUUUACAGCUUUGCAGUUGAACUCACAGUGUGACUUUCAGUGACCUCCUUCACUGUUCUAAGCCUCAGUUUUCUCAUCUGUAAAAUAGAGAUUUUAAUAUGAAUCCUCCCUCUUAUGGGUUUUGUACAGAUCAAGGGAGAUAAUAAAUGAAAAUUGUUUAACACAUAGUAAAAACCUGGCACAUACAAGGACCCAGAGGGGUAGCUAUUGCUAUUAUUAUAACGAGGAGAAUCUGGGUGACCCUCUCGUCCACCCUUCUAUUCCCAGGACCUGGGGGCUGCUCUAAGUGUCUGCUGAAUGAGUGAAUGUAUUACAGGUGCUUUUGACUUUCUUCUUUCUACUUUCCUGUAUAUUCUAAAAUUUCUACCAUAAACAUGUUUAUUUUUACAAUCACAAUAAAUUGUAAAACUUUAAACAAGGAAACGUGUAAAGAAAAGGGAAAAUGGGAAGAGUACAGAAAGUUUAUGCUCAUACUUACCUGGCAGAGGAGAUACCAUGAUCACAAAGGUAGUUUUCCCAGGGUGAAGUUCACCAUUGCACCCCGGAGGUGCAGACCCCUGUGUUUUCCCCAAA
rnacentral:lncRNA from 1 species